GUUUUCCAAUUCUAACACGUUUUUCUUCUCAAGGAGUGCGGCACAUUGUACUGUUUGGGUGGGGUGCUCAUGCGUUCAGAGCAGUUUGGUGCUGGUUCCCAUAUCUCUUUUUCAUAUGGUACAACGUAACGUGAGCCUCUGCACCUGACCCAGAAAGCAAACUUAACAGCUAAAAUUGCUGAGGCGAAUGAUGGUGAUCUGUUAAAUUUAGAAAUGUUUGGCAGCGCGUUUCCAGUCUUAAUACGUUCACAGGUGUGGUUUGUUUCUUUUCUGUGCAGUGGCAACCUGGUGGGGCAUGAAGCUUGAAUUUCUGGUGGAUGCGUUAUGUUAAAACGACUGGAAUGGAAGUUAUUGAGUAUGUGACUAAUGUAGAAGAAUCCUGUAUAAUAGACACUACUUAAUGUGUUACAUAAGUAACGUGAGGUGGAGCCUGGUUGCAUAAGAAACAGCUGGGAAUGGGGGAGCUGCUGUACGCAGUCCGUAUUAGCUGCAAUUAGAGCCUGCAGGUUAUGUGUGCUGGGGAGGGGAGCAGUGGGCUUGGACAUCUGAUAGUGCUACAUUUUUCCUUUGUACCAGGAAAGAAAUAGAGAGAGUAAUAAAGGAUGACAGUGCAAAGCUUUUUGAAGUUUGGAAUCUCAUCUGAGCUUAACUUCUGUGAUGUAUGCUGCUUCCUGAAAGAAACCCCCCUUUUUUUGCAUGUCAGAUGGUGGCUGUCAGCUGAGCCUUGCAGCAGCCAGUUCUGUGCAGGGUACUGCAAAGAGCAGGAUUCUUGAUCCUAGAGGUUGUUAACGCUGUUCAGAAAAACGAAGCAGUGGAAGUAGUGUUAGGAGGAGGCCGUUGGUUUGUUGACCCAACAUGUAAGUGACUGGAUUAUUGUUUCUUCCUGUAUAGACAUACUAUAGCACAAGGUAAAUAAUCCCUUUGUAAUAGAAUCUUCUAGAGAAGCUUCUAGAGCGCAGCAAUUCUUACGAGAUAGAACAGAUUUUAUUUGGGACCUGACAUGAAUAUUUCCUGGCUAUGUACUUAGUGGAGAGUGUUAAUGUGAACUGAAGAUGACGAAAAACACGUUCUACUUCAUUAGCACUUGCAUUUAGGCUUGCAGUCCAUGAUUACAGAGUGGGGAGCAGUUGUCUCUCUCACUGUAAGGGAACAAACUGAAUACUUACGUUCUUACAUAAGUAGCUCAUAGAAUACUCAGAAAUCAAAAGUUUCUAUGUGGUAGAGAGCUUCAAUUUGUAAAGAAGCCUUUUAGUCAGCACCUAUUAAUACCAGAUUUAGUUUUAGGAAUUAAGAGCUGAACUUUCUUAAAAGUUCUGUGUAAUGGGUAGCUUGUCGCAGAAGCACUCGAACUGCAGAGUCCUUCUGUUCUUAUGACACAACAGAAAUGAAGGAAUACUCUAAUAAUAAUAUUUUUGUUUGUUUCAGGGCAGACCUGUUAGCUGUUUUCAGGGAAGCACUGUCUUCUUUGAGAAGUGAUAACUUUCGUGGUGGUGUAGCACAGUCUUGAAAUUAUGUCUGUGAUGUAUUCUGAAAUUACUUCUGCUGCAGAUGAAUAACAGCAAAUGCACAUACUGCUUUGAGACAGAAACCUAUGGGAAGGGGAUUUGCUUGAAGGCCAGUCUGUAAGCUGUGCCUUUAUCUGGAAGGUAUGGGAAACAAAGGAAGCUGUAGGAGAGGGAGGUGUUUAAAAAGUAGUUCGUAUUUAUGGUAGCCAACCAGGGAGAGAAACAGUUUCUACUUAACUGUAAUUCUUCCCUUUUACUGAAGGCAUUUCAAUUGGCUGUGUGUUCUCCAGCAUUGAGACCUGUGGUCCUAACUUGCUGCGGUAGCCUGUCUGUGCAUGUGUAUAUGGUUUGUGCUUUUGCUAAGACCUGUUAUUUAAACAGUACUGUUUACAGUACUAGUCGUAUGAAGACUGACAAGAGUUCAAGGGUACGUAGAGGAGAAGGGAGAGAGGGAUACGAAGCGUAAUAGAUCCGAGUGUGCAUUAAUGCCAUAGCUGAAGCAAAUGGAUCAUUUUUUAAUGUGAAGGUUGGCUGCAUGGCUUCACAAACAGUCCUGCUUGAACAGGAAUAGGAAGAAGCAGCUGCAGGGAGAAAGAAUGGAGAUGUGCAAGUUUUACCUGUUUGGUUUUUUUUUUUCCCUUAUUAAAGAGGCAAUUCUUAAGGAAUCGAAGUGGCAAAUCCUAACGGCAGUUUUAGAGUCAGAAUCACUAUAAUCCUUGCUUAAGGAGUUGGGCAUAUUUUUUUUAAAA
ensembl:lncRNA